AGGGAAUUUUCCACAAUGGACGAAAGUCUGAUGGAGCAACGCCGCGUGAACGAUGAAGGUCUUCGGAUUGUAAAGUUCUGUUGUCAGGGACGAACAAGUACCGUUCGAACAGGGCGGUACCUUGACGGUACCUGACGAGAAAGCCACGGCUAACUACGUGCCAGCAGCCGCGGUAAUACGUAGGUGGCAAGCGUUGUCCGGAUUUAUCGGGCGUAAAGCGCGCGCAGGCGGCUAUGUAAGUCUGGUGUUAAAGCCCGGGGCUCAACCCCGGUUCGCAUCGGAAACUGCAGAGCUUGAGUGCAGAAGAGGAAAGCGGUAUUCCACGUGUAGCGGUGAAAUGCGUAGAGAUGUGGAGGAACACCAGUGGCGAAGGCGGCUUUCUGGUCUGUAACUGACGCUGAGGCGCGAAAGCGUGGGGAGCAAAC
rnacentral:rRNA from 1 species